rnacentral:lncRNA from 10 species
UCUUAUACCAGUACCAUGCUGUUUUGCUUACCGUAGCCCUGUAUCCACAGAUGAAUUAAUACCUAAAGAGAAAGCAUCUGGAUCUUGGAAACAAACUGACCAGAAAAGGCUUGGGAUUUGGAAAGUGUAAAUCAGCCUAACGAGCCAUCUAAACAGGAUGAUUAACACAAGGAAUAACUGAAACUGCUGCAAAGACACAAAUUGAAUACCUGUGAGCUCCUCCCAGUUCACAUUCCCAUCACUCCUUCUCAGAGAUGACCAGUAUAUUGAACAUGGUGUUUAUCAUUCAUAUGAAUCUCUUUAUACCUUUACUAGUUAUAUACGGUCCCUAAGUAUUUUCAAAUGUUAUUUUUGCAUGCUGGUAAAUGACAGAGCAGGAGCACCGCCAUCUUGGACAAGCACCAUCAUUUUAAAGUUCACCUUGAUCAAAAACUGCCUAAAUCCAAAAAGCAUCAGCCAUAAACCACAAAUAACAUCUCUGACCAGAAACAUUCCAAACCACUCCCCAACCAGAGACAUGCCAGCCCCAAGAUAACCCCUCUUCUGGCUGGAGAGAUGUCAGUCCCAAGAUAACCUGCCCUCCAACCAGAGACAUUCCAACCCUGCCAUAAACUUCCCUACACAGAAACAUUCCAAGCUUGUGAUAAGCUCUCUCACCCUAAAAAAAUCAAUAAUAUUCUUAGUCUGUAAGAGAGAGCACUGCUGACCGAAAUCGGCCAGAAGCCCCUCUCAAG